GUGAGGAAUUUUGCGCAAUGGGGGAAACCCUGACGCAGCGACGCCGCGUGGAGGACGAAGUCUUUCGGGAUGUCAACUCCUGUCAGUGGGGACGAUAAUGACGGUACCCACAGAGGAAGCACCGGCUACCUCCGUGCCAGCAGCCGCGGUAAGACGGAGGGUGCAAGCGUUGUUCGGAAUUACUGGGCGUAAAGCGUAUGUAGGCGGCAAGUUAAGUUCAAUGUUAAAGCCCACGGCUCAACCGAGGAGAUGCAUUGAAUACUGGCUAGCUAGAGGGUGUUGGAGGAAGACGGAAUUCCCAGUGUAGCGGUGAAAUGCGUAGAUAUUGGGAGGAACAUCGGUAGCGAAAGCGGUCUUCUGGUACAUACCUGAGGCUGGGGUACGAAAGCGUGGGGAGCAAACGAGAUUAGAAACCCUGGUAGUCC
rnacentral:rRNA from 1 species